rnacentral:rRNA from 1 species
GAUGAACGCUGGCGGCGUGCUUAACACAUGCAAGUCGAACGGAAAGGCCCAAGUUUGCUUGGGUACUCGAGUGGCGAACGGGUGAGUAACACGUGGGUGAUCUGCCCUGCACUUCGGGAUAAGCCUGGGAAACUGGGUCUAAUACCGGAUAGGACCACGUCUUGGAUGUUGUGGUGGAAAGUUUUUUCGGUGUGGGAUGAGCUCGCGGCCUAUCAGCUUGUUGGUGGGGUAAUGGCCUACCAAGGCGUCGACGGGUAGCCGGCCUGAGAGGGUGUACGGCCACAUUGGGACUGAGAGACGGCCCAGACUCCUACGGGAGGCAGCAGUGGGGAAUAUUGCACAAUGGGCGCAAGCCUGAUGCAGCGACGCCGCGUGGGGGAUGACGGCCUUCGGGUUGUAAACUCCUUUCGCUAGGGACGAAGCGUUUUUGUGACGGUACCUGGAGAAGAAGCACCGGCUAACUACGUG